rnacentral:lncRNA from 1 species
AAAGAAAUAAUACAAUAGCUAUAUGCUUGAACAUAUAUGAACAUGUAUAUAGUUUUAAAAUGCAAACGAGUACGUACGUUACUUACAAAUUAAGUAUACACAGAAAUGAAAAAAAAAUAAAAAAAAAAUAAAAAAUAAAAAAAAGAGCUCACAUGAAAAUACCACAUAAAAUAAAAGACAGCAUAUACAACAAUAUUAUAAAAAAUAAAACAGUAGAGUUCAGUGAUGGAGGGGAGGAUGAAUUAGACUUUAAAAAAAUAGUAGAGGAUAAUAUAAAUAAAUUAAACCUUAAUGAUGAGAAUAAAGCUGAGGCUAAAAUAAAAUGGGAAAACAUUUUAAAAACAAAUGCAAAAAAUUAUGGGAAAUAUUCUUCUGGUAAUAAAAUAAAAAUAUAUAAUAAUAAUGCAUUAGCAUUUAUUGAUAUACUAAAGUCUAUUAAUAAGAGUAAAAAAAGAGUGUGGUUAGAAUCAUAUAUAUUUGAUGACUCAAAGUUAGCUAAAUUAGUUGUCGAUAGUUUGUGUAAUGCAUCACAAAGAGGUUGUGAUGUUAUAUUAUUAGUUGAUUAUAUCGGUAGUGUUAAAAUAAAAAACAAAUGGGUGGCUAUGUUAAAAAAGAAUAAUGUUGAAGUGAUAUUUUUUAAUAACUUUUUAAAUUCUUUUUUUAAUAUGCUACCUAUAUUUUUUAGAGAUCAUCGAAAAAUAUUAAUAGCUGAUAACACAGCUUAUUGUGGUUCUAUGAAUGUUUCAGAAAAUGUUGUUCCAAAUUAUUAUAUUCAGGGAGGUACUAUUUGUAAGGAUCUUGUUGAGGAGAUAGCUAAUGGAAUGAAUAAUCAGUCGAUUGGCCAGUCGAUUGAUGACUUAUCUAGCAAGCCAGCUGAUCAAUUAUGUGAAGGACGUGUUAGAGAUUCAAAUUUAACAAAAAAAGAAAGCAAAAGUAAAUGCUUAGAAUAUUACGAUUUGCAUAUAAAAAUGAAAGGACCGGCAGUAAAAGAUUUAGCUAACGUUUUUAUAGAUUCUCUUAACAUGAGCAACAGUAAUAUUGUUCGUACUCCCAUAGAAAAGCAAAAAAUAUAUACUAGCAGUGGUGGUAGUGAUAGCAACUCUGACAACCCUAGUAACAAAAAAAACAGCGUAAAUGACUGUUAUGUACAAAUACUCGAAUCAAAUGUUCUUCGGAAAAUCAAAUCGAUUCAGAAUAUAUUUGAUUAUGUAAUUAGAAAUGGAGCUACAGAAAGUAUUUAUAUUACAACUAGCUAUUUUUUACCACCAGGUUUUUUAAGG